rnacentral:tRNA from 1 species
GCCGCGUGAGCAUGUGUGGCCAUGCACCGGACUCUUAAUCCGGGGAACCGGGUUCAAGUCCCUGACGCGGUA